UACGACCAUAUCACAUUGAAAUACUGGUUCCUCUAGGAACACCGAAGUUAAGCAACAUUGAGUCUGGUACGUACCUCGGUAGGUGGCGGCUUAGGAAUGCCAGGUGCUAU